CAGCCGCCACGGUAAUACGUAGGGGGCAAGCGUUAUCCGGAAUUACUGGGUGUAAAGGGAGCGUAGACGGUUAAACAAGUCUGAAGUGAAAUGCCGGGGCUCAACCCCGGAGCUGCUUUGGGAACUGUAGAACUGGAGUGUCGGAGGGGUAAGCGGAAUUCCCAGUGUAGCGGUGAAAUGCGUAGAUAUUGGGAGGAACACCGGCGGCGAAGGCGGCUUACUGGACGACAACUGACGUUGAGGCUCGAAGGCGUGGGUAGCAAACAGGAUUAGAUACCCCCGUAGUCCCUGUCUCUUAUAC
rnacentral:rRNA from 1 species